GCACCGGUGGUGUAGCGGUAAUACAUACUCUGAAACUGAAAAGUACUAAAUGAUAGACAAGUGGGUCCAGGGUUCAAAUCCCUGUCGGUCCC